AUGAAAUUGCUGUCAAUUACGUGUUACCUUCUCAACAAAGAACCGACUUCAUUCCUUGGAAUUCCGAUGCUUCCACCAUUCCAUCUCUUUCUUCCUUCCGAACCUUCCACCAAAGGUAAGUUUCAAGGAUGUCCAACCGGUAUGCCCUGCUCCUCUCUUUUUAAAUCCAUCACAGGGGGUAUGACAUGGGUCAAAUUAGUGUCCAUGAAUUAUAGAUUAAUGAAAUCGUGAUGAUGAGAAGAUGUCGACCGGUGAUGAUUCAGAAGAUUUUUCAUAUGGUGGCUGUAGAUUUCAAACCGUGAAGCAGAGGCUUAAAAGGUUGAUCGACGGAUUAGGGUUUGCAAUUGAGUUUCGUCCGAUUCUCCACCUCCCGGAAACUUCUUUCUCUACGCCAAUAUUUAUCGAUCACCUCCGUCUGCUUUCGCUUUUUACUCACACCCAUCGUCGACACCGCUUCAUUCCUUGGAAUUAUACAACAUCGGGUGAUAUAGGAGCUUAUUUUCUCCGACAUUUUCCUUCUGAUUCUUUUGAUGGAUGAUCGAUCUUUUGCGUUUCCUGGUAUCUGGGACCACUGCCUGAUCCGUCGUGUUUUCGGCUUGCAUCUACCACACAGUUGGCGUUGAUGAAAAUGUUAUCUGUUGGUCUCAUCAUGACGUGGUCGCAUAUGGGGGUUCCUCUUAGAAAGCCGAGUUAUUCAUAUGUGAAAUCGUUUUUUACCAAUAAAUUGCUCCAUGGUUUGCUAUUUGUUACAGGUCCUCAUAAGUAACGACGAUGAAAUAGGGACCUGAAAGAUGAAACCAUUUGAAGAUUUUCAAAUAGUAAGGUGCUUUUUAGAGUUUAGUUAUCCAAAUAUGUGGUUGUGUAACUGUUAAUGGCUAUGUAUGCAAUACUCCCCGAGUUAGCUUAUUCAUAUUCUUGGUAUAUUUUUUCAAUUGCCAUUGAGUGAUAGCUUCAAAGAAUCAUUUGUUAGAGUUGAUAUUGUUUUCCAAUAACAUGUGCAGACUAGAGUUGAUCCUAAGAAGGAUAUGAUUUAUGUAAAUGGUAAUGGCCUUCCUAAGAAACUGCCUCCAAAGGUCUAUCUUGCUCUCAACAAGCCAAAAGGGAAGGCUUGAUGUUGCCAGAACUGGGCCUGAUUAUUGUGACAAAUGAUGAUAAUUGUAAAAUUUUAUGAAAACCAAUUUAACUUUGGAUGGAUAGUUUGUAACCUAUUAUUAUGCUUUUUAGGGGAGUUUGCAC